rnacentral:rRNA from 1 species
CAGCAGGCGCGAAAACUCUACAAUGCAGGCAACUGCGAUAGGGGAACAUCGAGUGAUACUCAUCUUGGGUGUCUGUCCUCCCGUCUAAAAAACGGGAGUUAGCAAGGGCCGGGCAAGACCGGUGCCAGCCGCCGCGGUAAUACCGGCGGCUCGAGUGGUGGCCGAUAUUAUUGAGUCUAAAGGGUCCGUAGCCGGCUUUGCAAGUCUUUUGGGAAAUCCAGCGGCUUAACCGUUGGUCGUCCGGGAGAUACUACAUUGCUUGGGACUGGGAGAGGUAGGAGGUACUCAGGGGGUAGGAGUGAAAUCCUGUAAUCCUUUGGGGACCACCGGUGGCGAAGGCGUCCUACCAGAACAGGUCCGACGGUGAGGGACGAAAGCUAGGGGCACGAACCGGAUUAGAUACCCGGGUAGUCCUAGCCGUAAACGAUGCUCGCUAGGUGUCACAACAAUCGUGAAUUGUUGUGGUGCCGUAGGGAAGCCGUGAAGCGAGCCACUUGGGAAGUACGACCGCAAGGUUGAAACUUAAAGGAAUUGGCGGGGGAGC